CAGGUAGGACUACCCGU
rnacentral:rRNA from 1 species